CAAAGCUUCUUGGAACCAGGUCUGCUCAGCUCUGAUGGCAAAGGACGGAGCCGAAGCACAGUCAGGACUUUUCGUGAGAGGACUAUGCAGGGCUCACACACCGCUGCUGUAACAGGCUAACGUCAAUCCCGGAACUCCCUGCCUAAAAGGAGUUUGGAUAAGUCAGUUGAAAUGCAUUUGAGUCUCAAGAAACAGAAGGCUCAGACAGUUGCCACCACUGUGAAGACUUGCCAUCUCACAUGAAAAGUAACUUGGGACAAUGACCCGCAGGAGGCGAUGGGACAGAAACCUCACCUUGUAAUAGACAUCAAACAUCAGGUCGCUGCCUGCAGCAAGAGCUUUGUCAGCUACACACAACUGUGAGCUCCAACCACCACACGGCACGGACCUGAGCCCUCUGUUCUCUGAAGCUCUGAGUCUUUGACCAUUGAUGUCUUAUUGCCCCAGACGGCUUCAUCUGCUCUCACUGUUUCAAGCCCUUCCCACACAGUCUGUGGCUGCCUCCUGUGUGCACAGGAGGUUAGACACACAGCCAGACAUGCACCCCAUGGGGGAAACUCCAGCUCUGAUGCUCUGAGCUAGGUGAUCUCAGGCCAAAAUUUUAAAUUCUAUCAGCAAAGCAAUUGAUUCUUCUGUAAAAGAGUAAACGC
rnacentral:lncRNA from 1 species